GAAAAAUGUAUAUGAAAAUCCAUUUUCGGUCGGAGAGAGCGUCCGAGAAAGUACUUUCUUGGCCGCAAAUACCUCUCUCUGAGAAAUACAGAAAAAUUGAACUUUUCGAUCGUAGAAUGCGUGUCGAAAUCCGUCGAAUUUCAGUCUUGAAGCACAAAAUAUACUCUUAUGUAAC